GCCUCCGUGGCGCAAUCGGCUAGCGCGUUCGGCUGUUAACCGAAAGGUUGAUGGUUCGAGCUUACCCGGGGGCG
rnacentral:tRNA from 1 species